GCCGGGUGCAGUGGCGCGCGCCUGUAAUCCAAGCUGCUGGGAGGUUGAGGCUGGCGGAUCGCUUGAGUUCAGGGGUUCUGGGCUGCAGUGGACUAUGUCGAUCGGGUGUCCGCGCUAAAUCGGCAUCGAUAUGGUGCUCCUGGGGGAGCUCGGGACCACCAGGUCGUCUAAGGAGGGGUGAACCGGCCCAGGUCGGAGACGGAGCAGGUCAAAGCCCCCGUGCCGAUCAGGUAGUGGGGUCGCGCCUGUGAAUAGACACUGCAGUGCAGCCUGAGCGAUACAGCGAGACUCAGACUUUU
rnacentral:SRP_RNA from 1 species